rnacentral:rRNA from 1 species
CAACCUGCCUAUAACUAGGGAAUAACCUUGCGAAAGUAAGACUAAUACCCUAUGAUUUCCUUUGAUGACAUCAGAUUAGGAAUAAAGAUUUAUCGGUUAUAGAUGGGGAUGCGUCUGAUUAGCUUGUUGGCGGGGUAACGGCCCACCAAGGCAACGAUCAGUAGGGGUUCUGAGAGGAAGGUCCCCCACAUUGGAACUGAGACACGGUCCAAACUCCUACGGGAGGCAGCAGUGAGGAAUAUUGGUCAAUGGGCGGAAGCCUGAACCAGCCAAGUAGCGUGCAGGAUGACGGCCCUAUGGGUUGUAAACUGCUUUUAUACAGGAAUAAAGUUAGCCACGUGUGGUUAUUUGUAGGUACUGUAUGAAUAAGGACCGGCUAAUUCCGUGCCAGCAGCCGCGGUAAUACGGAAGGUCCAGGCGUUAUCCGGAUUUAUUGGGUUUAAAGGGAGCGUAGGCCGUCUGUUAAGCGUGUUGUGAAAUGUAGAUGCUCAACAUCUGAAUUGCAGCGCGAACUGGCAGACUUGAGUGUGCGCAACGUAGGCGGAAUUCGUGGUGUAGCGGUGAAAUGCUUAGAUAUCACGAAGAACUCCGAUUG